GGGGGGGUGUGUGGGGGGGUGUGUGUGUGGGGGGGUGUGUGGAUGGAUGGAUGGAUGGGUCCUAUCUCGCCCACCCAGAUGUGUGCAGUUAGCUAGAGAAGCGAUGGCGUCGGGUCUGUGGCCCCAGCUGUUGGCCCUCUUUUGUAGAGAUUAGCCAUAAAGGAUGGUGCUCAUGGGAGCGUGUGUGUACACACACACACACGCACACUCUCACACUCGUGUGCGCACACACUUACCACCUCUUUUCUCUCAUGUUGCCCUGUUCAUUAGAGUGGGGUAAUUUACACAUAAUUGUCACAUCAUUUUUGUCUGUGUGCUCGCCCACUGGUGUUCAUUUCCCUGGCCAUUGAAUUAACACAAAGAGUACGGAGCAACACAACAAAGAGGCCUUCCAAGUAGUGAUUGUGUGGGUGUGUGUGUGAGAGAGCGAGUGAGAGAGAGAGCGACCGAUCUAAGCGUGAAUGUCACUGGUCUUUGUUGCAUUCUCUCUCCCUCCCCUUCGUGUUGCUUCCUCUCUCUCUUUGUUUCUGAGGUGUGUGACUGAAUAGAUGGACCCCUUAUGUUCAUCACCGGUGGGUGAGGUUGGCACUACUGAAUUGACAGGUCCCCUAUGUUCAUCACUGGUGGGUGAGGUUGGCACUACUGAAUUGACAGGUCCCCUAUGUUCAUCACUGGUGGGUGAGGUUGGUGCUACUGAGCCAAAAGAGGGCACUGAAAGUACAAGAGCACAAAGGGAGAUGUGGAUCACGUCUGGAGAUUAGUCAUAGAAAAACAACCAAACAAAGCAAAAACAAACUUGUUUUGCUCGAGAGUUCAAGGAGAGAAGCAUCCUCAUCAACAUAUCUGCUUGGCUAUAUAUUGGUAGUCCCCCCCCCCCACACACACACACUUUAUACCUUAAUUAGCCUAGUUAGUGAGCUUGAUUUUAGCAAGGUGUUUGAAUCCAUCUCCAUGUUUUGAUUUUUUUUUCUUCUUUUUUACCUUCAUCGAGAGGUCGUGCUGCAUAAAACAUCAAUAUGAAGAGCAUCGGGCAUUCCUAUGCAGUCUUGACUCGAUGUCUGUCUUCUCUCUGGCUACAAGCUGUUAGUUUCAUCGCUUGAGCUGAGCAUUUGCAAUCAUUUGCCUCGAGUAAAUCACAGCAGCAUAAAACUGUCAUGAAAAAGAAAACUAGAAUCGAUGUGCUUUUAAUGGAAGCCUCAGGAAUGUCUUAAUGAAUGAAACAGUGAGAUGAGCUGUUAUCAUUGGGGCCCUGGGUUUCGUGACCCCAUUGAUAUUAUGCCGUUGGCCUUUGUGUCAUUGCAACAUUUCAGUUCAUUGUUACGACCUUUUCAAUGCAAGCCCUGUUAUGUGAAUCAGAAUCAGUGGGGAUUUAAAAAAUGUGUUUUUAUGAAUGUACUCCAAUCAAAGCAAAAAUUGUCUGAAAUCGAUACAUAUCGGCGUAUCCAUAAUCGAACCUAAUCAAACGGUGAUGAGUAAUGCGCUGCAGGUCUUUGACUGUAGGUUGACUGCUUUCCUUAAUGUUGUUAUCCUUUUUUUUCUAUUUGAUCUUGAAGAUGUGCAUAUCAGGUCUUUACUGUUCUCUUGAUGCUUCUUGAUUUAUUCUAUUUAUAUAUUCAUACAUAUACAUACAUACAUACAUAUAUAUAAACAAUAUAUAUAUAUUUGGUUGGGCUGGUUUGUAUCGUAUGAUCUUGACUUUGUAGCAUGAAAUAAAUCACAACCUUGUGAACCGA